GUUUCAGAACAACUCAGCAGAGCAUGAAAUCCAACUCCGAAUCAAUAUAGUAGACGAGAAAAAUGGCGAUGAAUCAGUUGAUAGUUCCUCUGUUUCUAUGUUAUCUUGUCCAAAUUUCUGGGAAGAAAUACUUAAUACAAACUAAAGAGAUUUCUCGACCAGAGAGGAAGCCUGUUAAUAUAACCAUGAAUGGAAUUGUUAUUGGAUUGGAUUAUACCUGUGUCUUUGAGAAUUGUGGUUAUGCAUAUAAUGAUGGUUAUGGACCAUAUGCAUAUGAUUAUUAUGAGGGUUAUGCAUAUGGACCAGAAGAAUAUUAUCCAUAUGGACCAGAAUAUUAUGGGCCUGAAUAUCAUCAUGAUGAUUAUCAUUUUAACCCAUGAAAUAGAUUCUUUUGGUUGUAA